UGCCCCGAGGAGCCGGGAGGGCGCCAGGCGCCGCGGACGGUCAGCGAGAGCCCCGUCCGCCCACGGAGCGCGCCUGCAGGCAGCCCGACCCCCCCCCCUUCCCCUUUUAACUCUAAAAAUAAAGUAUGAAUGUGUGCCUGAGGCCGAGGAAGAAAGUUGCCGUGGCUGCAGGCGCUGUACCUGCACCCCCCCCCCCCCCCCCGCGGCCUGCUGCGGCUCAGCCCCGCGGCGCCGAGGCCUGCCGCCCCCCCCCAGCCGUCCGCCCCUCCUCGCCCAGCUCACCUACCUCCGCUUUCCUCCUGCUUCUCUGUCCGCUUUGGCUCUGAUGGCUUCACGCUUGCCCCUGUUAUCCUACCUUUGAUAAUGUUCUCUGUUUAAUGUUACGCUCUGUAACCUGUUAGGAAAAGAUUAGGGAAAAAGAAAGAGAGGAGAUGGCUCUGCAAAAAAAGAAAAACCAAUUCUUCCAGUGCCCAACAGAAGAUGCCCAACAGGUUGGCAAGCUGCCAAUUACCUUUCUGAAAAUAAAAUGAAGAUAUUCACCAUCUCCUAGGCUGAGCUCUGAAGUGACCUACAAAGCAUCAUUAAACUACACAACCCAUUUCUAAAGUUCAGGUCCACAAAUGAUAAUCUACUUCAGCCUCUGAAACACACAAUCUGAUACUGCAAACAGCUCUCUUGACCUCUAUAGAGCUCCACAAUAGCAAUUAAAGAUGUUCAUAAUCUAA